UUUCAGUAUGUUGUGUGAAAGCAUUUCAGUAUGUUGUGUAAAAGCAUUUCAGUAUGUUGUGUAAAAGCAUUUCAGUAUGUUGUGUAAAAGCAUUUCAGUAUGUUGUGUAAAAGCAUUUCAGUAUGUUGUGUAAAAGCAUUUCAGUAUGUUGUGUAAAAGCAUUUCAGUAUGUUUUGUAAAAGCAUUUCAGUAUGUUGUGUAAAAGCAUUUCAGUAUGUUGUGUAAAAGCAUUUCAGUAUGUUGUGUAAAAGCAUUUCAGUAUGUUGUGUAAAAGCAUUUCAGUAUGUUGUGUAAAAGCAUUUCAGUAUGUUGUGUAAAAGCAUUUCAGUAUGUUCUGUGAAAGCAUUUCAGUUGAAACGGAAGCUGGUUGAAGUCUCCAGUCCAGUUGGUGGCAGUAGUGCACCUCAAGAGACCGAGUGUGGGCGAGAGAGAACGAGUGUGCGGGUAAAGGAUCAAAUAAACAUAGUGAACCAUUUUAACUUGUACGGUAGCAUUAAGUUGAGGUAUCCUGCAGUUUUUAAAUAUGCCUAAAAACUUUUAUUAUCAAUUAUAAACUAUUGUAUGGAGUCAAGGGAUUGGGGGCGUAUACAACUCGCCUGCGUGUGUUGCGUCAUCAGCUUGAAUCGCAGACGCAGACUGAGGUGGAGCUGAAUCAGACAAGAGACAUGCGGCUGGAUCAAAGUUACGGCAGAGGACACACUUUGCAUGGCUUGAUGGUGUUGUGAACUGGAAGAAAUAAAACAUUCAAGGCUCCUCCGACAACAAUUAUCCUCUUUGAAAGUUUUACGUUCGUUGAAUUAAAGUUUAUUUGACUC